ACGGGUGUAGCUCAGUUGGUAGAGCACCGGUCUCCAAAACCGGGUGUCGGGAGUUCGAGUCUCUCCACCCGUG
rnacentral:tRNA from 2 species